rnacentral:rRNA from 1 species
AGUGAACGCUGGCGGUAGGCCUAACACAUGCAAGUCGAACGGCAGCACAGUAAGAGCUUGCUCUUACGGGUGGCGAGUGGCGGACGGGUGAGGAAUACAUCGGAAUCUACUUUUUCGUGGGGGAUAACGUAGGGAAACUUACGCUAAUACCGCAUACGACCUACGGGUGAAAGCAGGGGAUCUUCGGACCUUGCGCGAUUGAAUGAGCCGAUGUCGGAUUAGCUAGUUGGCGGGGUAAAGGCCCACCAAGGCGACGAUCCGUAGCUGGUCUGAGAGGAUGACCAGCCACACUGGAACUGAGCCGCGGUCCAGACUCCUACGGGAGGCAGCAGUGGGGAAUAUUGGACAAUGGGCGCAAGCCUGAUCCAGCCAUCCCGCGUGGGUGAAGAAGGCCUUCGGGUUGUAAAGCCCUUUUGUUGGGAAAGAAAAGCAGCAGGUUAAUACCCCGCUGUUCUGACGGUACCCAAAGAAUAAGCACCGGCUAACUUCGUG